CGCUGACCCUGGGCAGCCCUGGAGUCGGCGUCUUCUCGCUUGCUGCCCUGGGUCCUACAGCCGGAUGUGGUGCGCAUGCCUGGGAGAAAGUGACGGUCUCCACUAGAGGAACCCAGUACUGAGGCCAGCUACCCCAGGAAAGCUGGGGUCAUUCCACCAGAAAAAUCAGACCUGUGAACUCAGCCAGCAGCCAUCUCCUCAACCGCAACUCACUUCCAGGCCUCGGGCUAAGGGAAGCAACUUGUCUGGCCAAGUCUCCUGAUGCAGCAGAGUCCUAGACAAACUUGAGGGCACAGGACAUGUCUUCCUGCCAUCGUGGAAGCUUACACCCUUCACAGGUCUUCGUGUUCAAUCUUGGAUACAAAUUGUGAGGCUGGGGCCCUUCCACAAAGCACGAUAGUACUGAAAAGAUGCAACAUGCUUAGCAGAUAAGAGGGCCCCUGGCUCAAGAAUUUCCUAGAUCCCAGCCACACCCCAAACAGCAGCCAACCACACCAAGGGUUUGACAGGAUUUUUUUAUUAACAUAUAAUAUAUUUAAUAAAAAAUAAUAUCCA